CACGUAGUCAGCCGGUGCUUCUUUACCCAUUACCGUCACUCACGCUUCGUCACAGGCGAAAGCGGUUUACAACCCGAAGGCCGUCAUCCCGCACGCGGCGUUGCUGCAUCAGGCUUCCGCCCAUUGUGCAAUAUUCCCCACUGCUGCCUCCCGUAGGAGUCUGGGCCGUAUCUCAGUCCCAAUGUGGCCGGUCACCCUCUCAGGCCGGCUACCCGUCAAAGCCUUGGUAAGCCACUACCCCACCAACAAGCCGAUAAGCCGCGAGUCCAUCCCCAACCGCCGAAACUUUCCAACCCCCACCAUGCAGCAGGAGCUCCUAUCCGGUAUUAGCCCCAGUUUCCUGAAGUUAUCCCAAAGUCAAGGGCAGGUUACUCACGUGUUACUCACCCGUUCGCCACUCGAGCACCCCACAAAAGCAGGGCCUUUCCGUCGACUUGCAUGUGUUAAGCACGCCGCCAGCGUUCGUCCUGAGCCACGGAUCAAACUCU
rnacentral:rRNA from 1 species